rnacentral:rRNA from 1 species
ACGAACGCUGGCGGCAUGCCUAACACAUGCAAGUCGAACGAGACCUUCGGGUCUAGUGGCGCACGGGUGCGUAACACGUGGGAACCUGCCCUUAGGUUCGGAAUAACUCCCCGAAAGGGGUGCUAAUACCGGAUAAUGUCUUCGGACCAAAGAUUUAUCGCCUUUGGAUGGGCCCGCGUUGGAUUAGCUAGUUGGUAGGGUAAAAGCCUACCAAGGCGACGAUCCAUAGCUGGUCUGAGAGGAUGAUCAGCCACACUGGGACUGAGACACGGCCCAGACUCCUACGGGAGGCAGCAGUGGGGAAUAUUGGACAAUGGGCGAAAGCCUGAUCCAGCAAUGCCGCGUGAGUGAUGAAGGCCUUAGGGUUGUAAAGCUCUUUUACCCGGGAUGAUAAUGACAGUACCGGGAGAAUAAGCUCCGGCUAACUCCGUG